CCUACGGGCGGCAGCAGUGGGGAAUAUUGGACAAUGGGGGCAACCCUGAUCCAGCCAUGCCGCGUGUGUGAAGAAGGCCCUCGGGUUGUAAAGCACUUUCAGUGAGGAAGAACGCCUGGUGGUUAAUACCCAUCAGGAAAGACAUCACUCACAGAAGAAGCACCGGCUAACUCCGUGCCAGCAGCCGCGGUAAUACGGAGGGUGCGAGCGUUAAUCGGAAUUACUGGGCGUAAAGCGCGCGUAGGUGGCUUGAUAAGCCGGUUGUGAAAGCCCCGGGCUCAACCUGGGAACGGCAUCCGGAACUGUCAAGCUAGAGUGCAGGAGAGGAAGGUAGAAUUCCCGGUGUAGCGGUGAAAUGCGUAGAGAUCGGGAGGAAUACCAGUGGCGAAGGCGGCCUUCUGGACUGACACUGAUACUGAGGUGCGAAAGCGUGGGUAGCAAACAGGAUUAGAUACCCGUGUAGUC
rnacentral:rRNA from 1 species